UACGUAGGGUGCGAGCGUUGUCCGGAAUUAUUGGGCGUAAAGGGCUCGUAGGCGGUUUGUUGCGUCGGCUGUGAAAACCUGCGGCUUAACUGUGGGCUUGCAGUCGAUACGGGCAGACUUGAGUUCGGCAGGGGAGACUGGAAUUCCUGGUGUAGCGGUGAAAUGCGCAGAUAUCAGGAGGAACACCGGUGGCGAAGGCGGGUCUCUGGGCCGAUACUGACGCUGAGGAGCGAAAGCGUGGGGAGCGAACAGG
rnacentral:rRNA from 1 species